rnacentral:pre_miRNA from 1 species
CAGGUUCUGUGAUACACUCGACUUGGCUCUGGAGCAGUCAGUGCAUGACAGAACUUGGG